GCCUUGGUAGUCUAGUGGUCUAGGAUGCGAGCCUGUCACGCUUGCGACCCGGGUUCGAAUCCCGGCCGGGGCA
rnacentral:tRNA from 1 species